GUUUUCAGUUUUUACAGGUAACCCCUUUAUGAAAAGAGAUAAUAAUUGUACCUUUGACAGUGUUAAAUAGUAACUCAGAACCUUAUACAUCUGUUGUCAGCUAUAAGACAGUUCAAAGAGUCAAGAUUAACAGCUUAGUAGAACAUAACUUACUAGACAAUCAACUCAGAACCUUAUACAUCUGCUGUCAGCUAUAAGACAGUUCAAAGAGUCAAGAUUAACAGCUUAGUAGAACAUAACUUACUAGACAAUGUAGCUGGUAUUGAACUCUCACGUGUGAGGUAUCGUUAAAGCUUUGAUUUGCAUGCACUAUGAGAUGCUGUUGGUGUAAUGAAUAAUUUGGAUAUUCUAUCCACCUUAAUUCUCUGAAAAUUCGGUCAAAAUUUUUGCUGCUCUUAAACUCUUGAAUCUUGAUCUAGACUAGACAGAUUAGUGGUAGCAUAUACUGAACAUCUGAGUUGGUAGUGCCACAUAAUAAUAAUAAUGAUACAAUUUUGUCCAGUUCUUAUUUCACUUAUACAACAACAACAACAACAACCCAGUAUAAUCCCACUUAGUGGGGUUUGGGGAGGGUAGUAU
rnacentral:lncRNA from 1 species